UCAGAUUAUCGCAUUUUACGCUGACUUUCUUUUCAACAUCAGAGUUACCGUGCAAUUCUGUUCUAAGAUAUAUCCAGUAUAUGAGACUUACUUGCACGAUGGUUUUAGUACAUCAUAAAUGUUAGAAUCCUUAACACAAAAGCAAGCAUCAAUUUGUACACAAUCUACAAUUCCCAUUCACGAAUGUUGCAUAGGUAAUUUAUUUUCCUCAUGAAUUCAGGAAUGUUGUAUAUAUACUUUUUAUUCCAGGAAUGUUGCAUAGUUAUUUUCUAGAAUCGAUUCCUUGUUCCACACCACUCUUAAUUUUAUGUCUAAGACUGCAUGAUUCAUUCUUCCAGUCUUUCUAUCAAUUUCUCUUCUUUCUUUAUGUCUAACCAUGUUAGUGGAGAUGAAGCUAUGAUGUGAACAUGGAGGCCAAUCAGAUGGUUGUGGUGGCAGAUCACAAGGGCGACGAGUUCAUCAGCCUUGAGGCCCCUUGAGGAGAUAUCAUGGGCAAGGAGUGUCAUAAAAUCUGGAGGAGCUUGACGAGAAACAAGGUGAGCAAUGACCCUCUUGCCCUUUCGGAAUUUCUUAGACUUUCCUGAAAAAUGCAAAAUUUUGAUCUGAUAUUUGUUUCAUGUACCAUACAAAGGUAAGGGCAAUCAGACACAUAGGGCCUGGACAAAUUAGCUUAUCAUAGAGGCACAACCCAAUCACAGGUAGCUCACUACUUGCAUUAUUGUGUAAAUAAUUUGUAAUAACGAGAAAAAAUUGAAUACUGCUAUGUUGCCACUGUAGUUUUACCUUAUGGAAUAAAAAAUUCCACCAUUGUUAGAAAACAAAAGUAGAAGAUCCGAACCUUCUAUUUGGUAAAGACUAUUUUAACGCUGAGAUAUAACAUGUUUUCACCAAGGAGGGCAGUUCAAGCAAUGCAAAGCCAUGGCCUCCAACGAGGUCAGUUCUGAUUCUCUUCCUCAUCAAAAGUUGCAUGCCUGCCAUUAUUUGAGAAAGGUUUCCUGACGAUACGUGUAUAUCUGAGACUUUGUGCGCAUUCCACAAGGAUUUGGAUCCUCACGAUACAGUAUAUAUGACAAUGAUGGAUCUUUGGAAAAUAGUUUGCUUUUUGACUCGAAAGGAAAUGUGCAAUUUGAAGCAAUUUUUUGAUAUUCAUGAAUCUAGAACUCAGUUGGAGAAAAAUGUAUGUUCUUAAGUUCAUGGAUGGACAAUUUGUGAGCUGGAGCUUUUUUUGGGUUUUGUAAACUUACUUUUCUCAACUGGUUGUUUGCUACCUAACUGUACUUGAUUUUUCCCCCUUCCCACGAAUUUAAUUUCUAUGGCGCUAUGAGAGAAAGGUUCACCUCCCUGAAAUUUACGUUCCAAAUACUGCAAAGCCUCCCUAUGUAUGCAUGACAAUGGAUAUUUCCAUCAUCACCUCAAACUAUGAUGUCUUCUCUCAGUAUUACGAGAUUUUGUUUCGGAAAAUCUGUUGGUGACAAUGGAUAAUUUUCAUUUACAUGGCAUAUGCGUAUAUGUUUGGCUUAUUGAAUAAUCAUAUUGUAAUACUUGAACUUAUGUGAGGACUAACCUAUGCUAAACAUAUGCAGAUGAUUACACGUGUACCACAUAUCCUGUUGAGACAAGGUCUGUCACUCCUCUUCCAUGGCGCCAAGCGCUGGGUUGUGGACCUACCACAAGCUAGCCUCCUCCCUCGAGUACCAUAACCAACGACAAGCGGCGGAGAAGAACAUGGGCGUGCCACCAGGGAUAGGUAAUGGCGGCAGCGGUGGGGAGAAGGCGUUCAUCGAGGCUAGCGGCUGGAAGGCAGGGGACUUGGCAGUCCGGUCGCCAGUAGUGGGGAGGCAAGGAAAGGAUUCUUCACCAAAGGGAAAUGGAGGGAGAUAGAAAGAAGGAAGGUCGAGAGUGGGGAGGCGAGAGGCACUAAGAGGGUGGCCGUGUCCCAGUUUGGGUGUGAGUUUCUUUUAUUUCCAGUUUGGGUGUGAGUUUCUUUUAUUUUUUCGCAGUGUCAUGACUCAUGGAAAGUUUCAAGUUAAUUAAGGCUUAAAAAGAAAGUUUGAUUAUGCGUA